AUACUUACCUGGAUGGGGUCAAUGUGCGAUCAAGAAGGUCCAUAGCCUAGGUUUGUGACCUCCAUUACACUUUGGAGGGGUGCUCACCUAAGAUAUCUCCAAGUGGGAUAUUCUACGUUGCGGC